rnacentral:lncRNA from 1 species
CCCUGAGUCCUGCAGGGUGAGUGCCAGCCUGGCCUAGUGUCACCCCUUUGAGCCUCUGCAAUCCGGAGCUCUCACAAGUGUUUGGAACACGCACCAGGGAAUGAAGGGAAUAUGAUCCCAGAGAGGACGGCUACUGGAACACCCCACAUGACUGGCCUGAACGACAAUCCAGUGGCAGCUUACAACCUAUGAAGGGACCUCACUCUCUUUGGGAAAGAAAAAACAAAAAACAAAGCUAACAACAACAACAACAAAAAAGAAAACCCAUGUGACUAAUAAAUGAGCAAUGAAAAGCUGACUCUUACCCCCAUACAGAUCAUUUAUCAAGAGAUCACAUUUGGGGACACAUUAUCAGAAGGUCCUCGUCGUGAACUCUGGGCACUGUGCCUUGUAGAAAAGCGUAAGUGUGGAGUGGACAUCUUGCGCGCCCUCUGA